AACCGUGAGUCCGGAUUUGUGCUGUGCCAUAUGGGAUCACUCCCUCCAGCCUUAAUAGCUUUCAAUGGCCAUGUACACCCUAUCGAACCAUCUUGGCAUCUGUCGGGAUUGGGUUCAAGAAUGCCUGAUCCUGAGCUUCUGGAAUCUGCUGCUGUUGUUCAUUUCAGUGGACCACGGAAGCCGUGGCUGGAGAUUGGGUACCCAGCACCACGAGAAAUGUGGAGAGCCCACUUCAACCACUCCAAUGAGUUCAUAAGGCGCUGUAGAGUUGUGGAGUGAAGGCAAGAGUUAGCAGACUUUAGCAGAGGGAAGAAGGGAGAUCCUUCAGUCUUUGCUCAGGCUAGCUUUGUAUACUGGUUACUUGUAUGAGUGAAAUUUAGCGAAGUCAUAUAUAAGGAUGGAGAAUACCCGAUGGUCCCUUCAUGGAUAUAUAUCUAUAUAUAUAUGUAUAUAUAGGAGAAUACCCAAUGCACCUUUAUAAGAUCUUCAGCUAUUUUGAGGUGGAAAUGCUCAACCGACGGUAAUCCUUUCAUUCAUGUACUCGAAUGAUGAUUCAUAUUAAGAUUCUAUUGUUAUUGAA